rnacentral:antisense_RNA from 1 species
UGUAGGAGUGAGCCUGCUCGCGAUAGCGGUGUGUCAGCAGCAAAUAUUUACACUGAUACACCGCUUUCGCGAGCAGGCUCACUCCCACA